UCCAUGUGGAUGGUCCAACUGAAUGAUUUAAGUCCAUUUGGACUGCCUACAUGGAGU
rnacentral:pre_miRNA from 1 species